rnacentral:rRNA from 1 species
UACGUAGGGUGCAAGCGUUGUCCGGAGUUAUUGGGCGUAAAGAGCUCGUAGGCGGUCUGUCGCGUCGGCUGUGAAAUCCCGAGGCUCAACCUCGGGUCUGCAGUCGAUACGGGCAAACUAGAGUAUUGCAGGGGAGACUGGAAUUCCUGGUGUAGCGGUGAAAUGCGCAGAUAUCUGGAGGAACACCGGUGGCGAAGGCGGCAUCCUGGACCGACACUGACGCUGAGGAGCGAAAGCCAGGGGAGCAAACGGG